rnacentral:rRNA from 1 species
GACGAACGCUGGCGGCGUGCUUAACACAUGCAAGUCGAACGGAAAGGCCCUGCUUUUGUGGGGUGCUCGAGUGGCGAACGGGUGAGUAACACGUGAGUAACCUGCCCUUGACUUUGGGAUACCUUCAGGAAACUGGGGCUAAUACCGGAUAGGAGCUCCUGCUGCAUGGUGGGGGUUGGAAAGUUUCGGCGGUUGGGGAUGGACUCGCGGCUUAUCAGCUUGUUGGUGGGGUAGUGGCUUACCAAGGCUUUGACGGGUAGCCGGCCUGAGAGGGUGACCGGCCACAUUGGGACUGAGAUACGGCCCAGACUCCUACGGGAGGCAGCAGUGGGGAAUAUUGCACAAUGGGCGGAAGCCUGAUGCAGCAACGCCGCGUGCGGGAUGACGGCCUUCGGGUUGUAAACCGCUUUCGCCUGUGACGAAUCGUGAGUGACGGUAAUGGGUAAAGAAGCACCGGCUAACUACGUGCCAGCAGCCGCGGUGAUACGUAGGGUGCGAGCGUUGUCCGGAUUUAUUGGGCGUAAAGGGCUCGUAGGUGGUUGAUCGCGUCGGAAGUGUAAUCUUGGGGCUUAACCCUGAGCGUGCUUUCGAUACGGGUUGACUUGAGGAAUUUAGGGGAGAAUGGAAUUCCUGGUGGAGCGGUGGAAUGCGCAGAUAUCAGGAGGAACACCAGUGGCGAAGGCGGUUCUCUGGGCCUUUCCUGACGCUGAGGAGCGAAAGCGUGGGGAGCGAACAGGCUUAGAUACCCUGGUAGUCCACGCUGUAAACGGUGGGUACUAGGUGUGGGGUCCAUUCCACGGAUUCCGUGCCGUAGCUAACGCUUUAAGUACCCCGCCUGGGGAGUACGGCCGCAAGGCUAAAACUCAAAGGAAUUGACGGGGCCCCGCACAAGCGGCGGAGCAUGCGGAUUAAUUCGAUGCAACGCGUAGAACCUUACCUGGGUUUGACAUGGAUCGGGAGUGCUCAGAGAUGGGUGUGCCUCUUUUGGGGUCGGUUCACAGGUGGUGCAUGGCUGUCGUCAGCUCGUGUCGUGAGAUGUUGGGUUAAGUCCCGCAACGAGCGCAACCCUUGUUCACUGUUGCCAGCACGUUAUGGUGGGGACUCAGUGGAGACCGCCGGGGUCAACUCGGAGGAAGGUGGGGAUGACGUCAAGUCAUCAUGCCCCUUAUGUCCAGGGCUUCACGCAUGCUACAAUGGCUGGUACAGAGAGUGGCGAGCCUGUGAGGGUGAGCGAAUCUCGGAAAGCCGGUCUCAGUUCGGAUUGGGGUCUGCAACUCGACCUCAUGAAGUCGGAGUCGCUAGUAAUCGCAGAUCAGCAACGCUGCGGUGAAUACGUUCCCGGGGCU